UGUCGGCGGAACCCCGUGGAUUCACUCGACACAAACCAUGGCUGGCUGUGCAGUUCAUUGAACUAACAGACCGUCUCACAGCUCUGUUGUCAAGUUCUUCCGUUUUCCUCUAGGUGAUCCUGAGAGGCUAGACCUGUGGGUGAUCAACAUGAAGAGACAGAACUGGAUUCCGAGCCUCUGCAGUCAACACUUGAGAGACAACACUUGAGCAAUGACAAAAGGUUUUCCUCCAGGUGACUCAGACAGCCUGCACCAGUGGAUGUCCAACAUGAGGAGACAGAACAGGACUCCAACAAGACUGAACACUAAG